rnacentral:rRNA from 1 species
AAUGAACGCUGGCGGCGUGCUUAACACAUGCAAGUCGCACGAGAACUCUUUAGCUUGCUAAAGAUAGUAAAGUGGCGCACGGGUGAGUAACGCGUGGGUAAUCUUCCUUUAAAUUUGGGAUAACUCGCCGAAAGGUGGGCUAAUACCGGAUGAUAUCUUUGAAACCUCGGUUUAAAAGAUCAAAGGUGGCCUCUAUUUAUAUGCUACUGUUUGAAGAUGAGCCCGCGUACCAUUAGCUAGUUGGUAGGGUAAUGGCCUACCAAGGCUACGAUGGUUAGCUGGUCUGAGAGGAUGAUCAGCCACACUGGAACUGACACACGGUCCAGACUCCUACGGGAGGCAG